CUGUCUUGUGAGAAGGAGGGCGGGGCUCCGCUCUAAUCACACCACAGUCGCGCACCCAUCCACACGCAGACAGAGAGGAGAAUCACACCUUUACCCCACGAAUGUAAUGUGAUUACAGUAACCCAACUCUGAAAAUAUGUCCUUCGGAACGGGCGCAUCUGCAAACUCAGCCGCCGACGCACAGAUACGUGACGAGGCACCGGCUUCAAAACAACAUGGCUAAGGUGACACCCUCAGAUGAUUCAUUUUGUCCCAACAGACUAAACCGUCCACAACCCAGAGGUCUCCUGCUGUUCGCUCAGAUCUGAGGGAGCUGGACGGGCUUCUGCUGACUGGAUGAUUAUUCUGCCUAACAGUAAUAUGGCCUAAAAUCAAAGCCGGGAUUUCCGCUUCUCUCCCCUCCGUCUGCCUCCCUGAAGUCG